UUAGGAAUCUUCCCCAAUGGGCGCAAGCCUGAGGGAGCGAUACUGCGUGAAGGACGAAGGUUUUCGGAUCGUAAACUUCUGAACGAGGGACGAAAAAUGACGGUACCUCGCUAAAAGCACCGGCUAACUCCGUGCCAGCAGCCGCGGUAAUACGUAGGGGGCGAGCGUUGUCCGGAAGUAUUGGGCGUAAAGAGCGUGUAGGCGGCCCGGUAAGUCCGCCGUGAAAACCUGGGGCUCAACCCUGGGCGUGCGGUGGAUACUGGUGGGCUAGAGGAUGGUAGAGGGGAGUGGAAUUCCCGGUGUAGCGGUGAAAUGCGCAGAGAUCGGGAGGAACACCAGUAGCGAAGGCGGCUCGCUGGGCCAUUCCUGACGCUGAGACGCGAAAGCGUGGGGAGCGAACAGGAUUAGAUACCCGUGUAGUCC
rnacentral:rRNA from 1 species